rnacentral:rRNA from 1 species
CUGGCUCAGGAUGAACGCUGGCGGCGUGCUUAACACAUGCAAGUCGAACGAAGCAUUCCAACUCUCGGAGGAAGAAUGACUGAGUGGCGGACGGGUGAGUAACGCGUGGGUAACCUGCCUUAGUACAGGGGGAUAACAGUUAGAAAUGACUGCUAAUACCGCAUAACCCGCUAGUACCGCAUGGUACAGACGGAAAAGAUUUAUCGGUAUAAGAUGGACCCGCGUCUGAUUAGCUAGUUGGUGAGGUAAUGGCUCACCAAGGCGACGAUCAGUAGCCGGCUUGAGAGAGUGAACGGCCACAUUGGGACUGAGACACGGCCCAAACUCCUACGGGAGGCAGCAGUGGGGAAUAUUGCACAAUGGGGGAAACCCUGAUGCAGCAACGCCGCGUGAAGGAAGAAGUAUUUCGGUAUGUAAACUUCUAUCAGCAGGAAAGAAAAUGACGGUACCUGACUAAGAAGCCCCGGCUAACUACGUGCCAGCCGCUGC